AACAACAGUCGCACCCACAACAACAGCCGCCCCAACAACAAUCGCACCGACAACAACUGAAGCAGUCGUAGCAAGGCUAUUGACAUUCAGAUCUCAAGAAGAGACAUUUACAAGUGAUUUGCACGUUCCAUCAUCUGCAGCGUUUCAAAGUCGAGCCGUAUUGAUAGAGUCAACACUCAGACCUUUACUCAAAGAAGCUUUUCCUUCGUUCCGCAACAUCCGUGUGAUUUCAUUCAGUAAUGGAUCAAUCAUCCAAAACUCACUCAUUUAUUUUCCAUUAACAUCUGCUCCUAAUGGCA